rnacentral:rRNA from 1 species
UACGUAGGGUGCGAGCGUUAAUCGGAAUUACUGGGCGUAAAGCGUGCGUAGGCGGUUCCUCAAGUCCGUUGUGAAAGCCCCGGGCUCAACCUGGGAAUGGCAGUGGAAACUAGGGGACUGGAAUCUGGCAGAGGCGGGUGGAAUUCCUGGUGUAGCGGUGGAAUGCGCAGAUAUCAGGAGGAACACCAACGGCGAAGGCAGCCCGCUGGGACGGUACUGACGCUAAGGCGCGAAAGCGUGGGGAGCGAACAGG